rnacentral:rRNA from 1 species
AGAGUUUGAUUAUGGCUCAGGAUGAACGCUGGCGGCGUGCUUAACACAUGCAAGUCGAACGGAGUUGUUAAACGGAAGUUUUCGGAUGGAAGUUUAAGAACUUAGUGGCGGACGGGUGAGUAACGCGUGGGUAACCUGCCUCAUACAGGGGGAUAACAGUUAGAAAUGACUGCUAACACCGCAUAAUAUAGCGAAACCGCAUGAUUUUGCUAUCAAAUAUUUAUAGGUAUGAGAUGGGCCCGCGUCUGAUUAGCUAGUUGGUGGGGUAAAAGCCUACCAAGGCGACGAUCAGUAGCCGGCUUGAGAGAGUGACCGGCCACAUUGGGACUGAGACACGGCCCAAACUCCUACGGGAGGCAGCAGUGGGGAAUAUUGGACAAUGGGGGAAACCCUGAUCCAGCGAACCGCCGCGUGAGUGAAGAAGUAUUUCGGUAUGUAAAGCUCUAUCAGCAGGGAAGAUAAUGACAGUACCUGACUAGGAAGCCCCGGCUAACUACGUGCCAGCCGCAGC